GAUGAACGCUGGCGGCGUGCCUAAUACAUGCAAGUCGAGCGAACGGACGAGAAGCUUGCUUUUCUGAUGUCAGCGGCGGACGGGUGAGUAACACGUGGAUAACCUACCUAUAAGACUGGGAUAACUUCGGGAAACCGGAGCUAAUACCGGAUAAUAUUUUGAACCGCAUGGUUCAAAAGUGAAGGACGGUCUUGCUGUCACUUAUAGAUGGAUCCGCGCUGCAUUAGCUAGUUGGUAAGGUAACGGCUUACCAAGGCAACGAUGCAUAGCCGACCUGAGAGGGUGAUCGGCCACACUGGAACUGAGACACGGUCCAGACUCCUACGGGAGGCAGCAGUAGGGAAUCUUCCGCAAUGGGCGAAAGCCUGACGGAGCAACGCCGCGUGAGUGAUGAAGGUCUUCGGAUCGUAAAACUCUGUUAUUAGGGAAGAACAUAUGUGUAAGUAACUGUGCACAUCUUGACGGUACCUAAUCAGAAAGCCACGGCUAACUACGUG
rnacentral:rRNA from 1 species